rnacentral:rRNA from 1 species
AUGGAUAGACUUGUCAAUGUUCAUUACAUGGACAAGGAGGCAUUCUUGAGUAACAAUGCCGACACGGGUGAGGAACCAUUGGUUUUUGAUACAAGCCCUAGCUAUGAGGAAGUUAUUGCAAAACUGAGACAUGUCUUAAAGUGGACCGACAACAAUGUUGACGUGAAGUUAAUAGGAAGGUAUGAUGUUGGAGUUGGAGCCAAAUCUCGCUUGAAAAGUAUGCCUAUCACCUCGGAUUUGCAUUGGGAUGUAUACAAGGAAAAAGUUUCCCAAUCGGAAGACAAGUCACUUGAAUUGUUUGCCACCAAGGUUGAAUCUCCUCGGUUUACAAUUGAUUUGAACCGGCAUGUCUCUUCCCCAAUGGAUGACAUGAGUGAGAUCACAAUGGUGCCA